rnacentral:rRNA from 1 species
GAUGAACGCUGGCGGCGUGCCUAAUACAUGCAAGUCGAGCGAACAGACGAGGAGCUUGCUCCUCUGCCGUUAGCGGCGGACGGGUGAGUAACACGUGGAUAACCUACCUAUAAGACUGGGAUAACUUCGGGAAACCGGAGCUAAUACCGGAUCAUAUAUUGAACCGCAUGGAUCAAUAGUGAAAGACGGUUUUGCUGUCACUUAUAGAUGGAUCCGCGUCGCAUUAGCUAGUUGGUAAGGUAACGGCUUACCAAGGCAACGAUGCGUAGCCGACCUGAGAGGGUGAUCGGCCACACUGGAACUGAGACACGGUCCAGACUCCUACGGGAGGCAGCAGUAGGGAAUAUUCCGCAAUGGGCGAAAGCUUGACGGAGCAACGCCGCGUGAGUGAUGAAGGUCUUCGGAUCGUAAAGCUCUGUUAUUAGGGAAGAACAAAUGUGUAAGUAACUAUGCACGUCUUGACGGUACCUAAUCAGAAAGCCCCGGCUAACUUCGUG